AGAAAGGAGGCUGCUGAAGGUCGGACAGGCCGGCGGCGGCAGCGCCCGCUCCUGCUCUGGAGUCAAUGGGCAGGGGGCUGAUGCCUGUGGCGAAAGCCCGUCGGCCACGGCCGCCCGGUGCUGCGAGCUCGGCGGGUGACCUGUCCAAAGGGGGGAGAAAUGGGCUUGUGUGCUGCUCCCCCCCCCCGCCAGGGCGUAAUAAAGGCUGGACAGGGCUUGUGAAAUCGGUGUGUGGGGAGGGGGGUUAUUUCCUCUUCUGCUUUUACCACAAGAAAUAACGAGUCCGGCUCCCCUGGGUUUGCUGGAGAACCCUUUGAGGUUUCCGGUGCCGCACUGCGGACCGGCGGUGGCCUCCUGGCUCAGGCACCAGGCUGGCACUCAGGAGGUCUGGCUUCUUCUUCUCCUGGCUCCGCCGUUGUCAGAGCUGUGUGGCUUGGGGCAAAUUAUUAAACUCUCCCUGCUUAAAUCUUCCCCGCUGAAAACUGGAGCUAAUGCUUAGGCACCUUCGUUAAAUCACUUUGAGCUCUUGUGGACGAAAAAUGCGGUAUAAAUUCUAAGUAUGAGCGUUUGUGCCUCUUCAUUAGGGGCUAGGGUGGUGGGAUCUUUCCCUGUUAAACCUUGGCGUUAAAUAGGAGUUAAAACAGCUUUAAAAACUGCAGGAAAAAUCUUUCACCCUCAGUUGCUCAGUUUUCAGGGUUUUUUUUCCUUGUAACUUCAUAAUCCCCUCAGUAGUCAUAAACAGGGUUUCCAGGUGGACAAAACUAGAAUUUUUAGCCUUUAAGAAAGUGGGAAAAAAUCCUUUUUCGUGUCUUUUUCAUAUGUCAUAAAGCAGCAUAAAAGUCUAUAGAACCCUUCUCCCUUUGUAGUUCACCUUUAAUAGCACCUUGAGUUCUGUGCAGUGACCCUGUUGUAAGGGCAGGAAUCUCCCCUGCAACUGGAAAAGAGAAUUUGCUUUUAUUACUAGUAAAUGUUGACAGUGUGCACAAUACUGCACAAAACCCAAAGAUAGUUUCCUGUGCUAAAUAAAAUGCCUUUUUGUAUUUAUAUUCCAGUAAUAGAGCACCUUUAAUCGUGAAGGGUCUCAGAGCAUUUUACAGAUUUCAGCUGAUAACCGGAGGAAUAAUUUUUCCCAGUGGUGACUGUACUUUGAAGGUAGAAAAACUGAUCAGUUGUUCAGCUGGGCAUAGCAGUUCUCCACAACAAUAUAAUAAAUGAAGUGAAGAAUACCAUUUAGAAACUGCAGCUGUCUGUAGGUAGGCAGAAUGUAAAUGAGAAAUUGUCCCUGAGAUUUUCUUUUUUCCUGGAAUUGGGUGGCAUUUCCUUUUUACUCCAUAACUGGCAUGUUUCAGUAAUUCUGAAAGACUCUUCUGUGCUGCUGUAUGAUUGAAUAUGACCACUUACAUCACUGAUAUUACCACUGUUCUACAAUUGCAACAAAUCUUUUACAAAGUAUGUCAUGUAAAUGUCAAUCCAGGUAUCCUCUUUAUAUCUGAAGUUAUGAAUAUUGGCCAUGGACUUGUAUUUUAUACAUGUGUUAUAGUCCUGGGUAACACCUACCAGACAGGAUUUACACUGGUACCAGACAGCUAUGUAGUGAUGGUCCAUCAAGGACACUUCACUCUCACAGUGCGCCAUCAAAGAAACUCAUCCUGCCCAGAUAGCUCUUCUUGCCGAUGUAUCAGUUUCCAAGGGGCCAAUGGCCACCUCCUGUGAGUCAUCAAAGCAUGACCCUGGACUCCAUCUUGGACUAGUAAUUUUCCAUGCACCUGGGCUGUGAGUUUAGUUGGGACAGCAAAAUUCCAUGCACAUGGCGGAGGAUAUAAAAGGACCCUGACAUAUCUCCAUUUUUGUCUUCAUUUUCUCUAGACUGGAUUUCUAACAAGGAAGCUCUAAGCAAGGACUGAUUACCCCCAACCUGUUUGGGUAAUUCCAGGGAGAGAGUUUUGCAAGCUAGCAGUUUAUUCCAUCAUUUCCAUGAUCCUGAUCUAUGAACACUGAAAAAUCACUUGUAUUAAUUUCUCUGCAUGACCUUGUCAUGCAUCUGAUGCAAAGUCACCAUUUUACAGACUGGUAUUAAAAGUGAAUGGCAAGAGCUGAGCAGUUGACUGAUAUGAAAAGGAAGAAACAGAGGUCUAAGGAUGAGAUGUCUGAAGCCCUCCUUACAGACUUUCCAAAAAGCCCUGGAAAACUACUGAUAACUGGAAAGUGUUUUUGAUGUCUGAAAGAGAAAAAGACAGGCAGCUAUCCAGCGACGGCAUUGAACUGGCUCGAGACAGUGUUGCCAUGACGAAAGAUGCUGCGGAGGAAGAUAGGGACUCCUGGAGGCAAUGAUCAGGCAGAACGUUCUGUUGGGUUGCAUAGUGAAAUUAGGCUAGCAGACAGUCGAGCAUCUUCAACCAGAAGCAGCCAUGUUCUGCAGCCCCUGUAUGAUCUAGGGUACUGGGAACACCAGCCUAUGUUUCCCGCAGUAGACCUGCAGCCUUGCUCCCAGAGGCCAUUCACUUCCCCAGCUUCAGCACUGGGUAGUAAGAACACCACAUGGGAGCCCAGCACAUCUGCACUAUCCAAUGCAUGUGGCAACUGUGACCCCAAUAUGCUACCCUAGAAGGCAGAGGGUCUAGAAGAAGCAAAGACAAGAUGUUCACCUGCGUGUGAACAGAAGUCCCCUCCCCUGACUUGUUGUGUGUUGCCCUCUUCACCCCACUGUAUGUGAAAGACAUUUUUUCACUUUAAA